UGCUGCUGCUGCACGUUCAUGGCCUUUACAGGACAACAAACAUGUUUGCACUGUCGGAUUAUUUUCCUGAGUGUAAAGCGAUGACGGAUUAAUAAGACAAGGGAGGGGUUGUGAGAAAGAGAGAGAGAGGAAGAAGAAGAAGAAAAAAGCAGCUUGUCACGAGGGCAAAUAAUGCAGAGUGUAGCCAAUGGAAUGACCUCUAUCUGCACACAGGUCAUUUUCCUGCCUGUGUCCUUGGAUUUACUAUAGUCUGUGUCACAACUCUUGAAAUACAAGACCUAUUUGAGUUUCAUCUACCAGCUAUUCCAUUAUAACCUUUAAUAACUUAGUCACACAAACUCUCCCACAGGAAUUAAUCUGGAGACAUGACAUUCAGACAUGAGACCUAUAGGUUCGUGUGGAGGGGAGGACGGCGCGAUCUCUGUUUCUAUUGGACGACAGGGCCGUCAAUCACUUCCCGGGCCAAUAGGAGAGGUAUGAGGGAGGAGAUGGAGGGGAAAAGGGGGCGUGGUUUGCCUAAUCUCGACCCUUGCUGCGACCUUUCCUCUGCUGUGAUGGAUGACUGUGGAAUUAUAUGGAAUCUGCUUCUGCUGCUGGUUUUACAUCUGUCUCUAAUCCCUAAUCCUAAUCCCGAAGUUCACAUGGACCGAGAGAGAGUUGUACAUUCAACAUAUAUAUAUGUAUAUAUGGCACAUAUUAAUUAUAGUGUUGUAAUGUAAUGAAUGGUGAUAUUGACAUGUAAAUGACAAUGAUAAUAUGUUUAAUUGAGAAUAAGAUAUAAAUAAAACUAAAGAUACA